rnacentral:rRNA from 1 species
GCUUAUGGCCAUACCACACUGAGCACGCCUGACCUUGUCUGAUGUUGGAAGCUAAGCAGGGCUGGGCUUGGUUAGUACUUGGAUGGGGGAAUACCUGGUGCUUUAAGCC